rnacentral:misc_RNA from 1 species
AAAGUCGUAACAAGGUUUCCGUAGGUGAACCUGCGGAAGGAUCAUUACUGAUUUGGCGGACCGAGCGUCAGCGAGGUUCCGCGAUCACUUGUAUUUAAAACCCACACUUUGAAUGUAUAUGUAUAUAUUUUGUAUUUUUUAAUAAUAAAAAAAAGAUCACUUUCAACAACGGAUCUCUUGGCUCUC